UACGGGAGGCCAGCAGUGGGGAAUUUUGGACAAUGGGCGCAAGCCUGAUCCAGCCAUGCCGCGUGUCUGAAGAAGGCCUUCGGGUUGUAAAGGACUUUUGUCCGGGAGCAAAUCCCAGUGGUUAAUACCUACUGGGGCUGAGAGUACCGGAAGAAUAAGCACCGGCUAACUACGUGCCAGCAGCCGCGGUAAUACGUAGGGUGCAAGCGUUAAUCGGAAUUACUGGGCGUAAAGCGUGCGCAGGCGGUUGUGCAAGUCUGAUGUGAAAGCCCCGGGCUUAACCUGGGAACGGCAUUGGAGACUGCACGACUAGAGUGCGUCAGAGGGGGGUAGAAUUCCGCGUGUAGCAGUGAAAUGCGUAGAGAUGCGGAGGAAUACCGAUGGCGAAGGCAGCCCCCUGGGAUGACACUGACGCUCAUGCACGAAAGCGUGGGGAGCAAACAGGAUUAGAUACCCUGGUAGUCCACGCCCUAAACGAUGUCAACUAGCUGUUGGGGGUUUGAAUCCUUGGUAGCGUAGCUAACGCGGGAAGUUGACCGCCUG
rnacentral:rRNA from 1 species